GCGCCUACCUCGGGGGGCCUGUGCGCAUUGUGCUGGCUGAGAUGCAAAAAUUGCGGACCCGUUGAACCUGAACCGGUUAAGACCGGCGGAGGGAAGGUUAUGGAAUUCUUC
rnacentral:ncRNA from 2 species